GCCCUUACAAACUUUAUUGAUGAUGUAUUGGUGUUUUGCGGCGCAAGGGCCAAAUCAGGCCAAAGAGCGCCACGUCAAUUGAUGCUGGGAU
rnacentral:lncRNA from 1 species